rnacentral:rRNA from 1 species
UAUUGCAACUUACCAACCCAUGGCAAACUCAGAAUACCAUCAAGUGGUUCCUCGGGAGACAGACAGCGGGUGCUAACGUCCGUUGUCAAGAGGGAAACAACCCAGACCGCCAGCUAAGGUCCCCAAUGAUAGAUUAAGUGGUAAACGAAGUGGGAAGGCCCAGACAGCCAGGAUGUUGGCUUAGAAGCAGCCAUCAUUUAAAGAAAGCGUAAUAGCUCACUGGUCGAGUCGUCCUGCGCGGAAGAUGUAACGGGGCUCAAAUCUAUAACCGAAGCUGCGGAUGCCGGUUUAUCGGCAUGGUAGGGGAGCGUUCUGUAGGCCGAUGAAGGUGCAUUGUAAAGUGUGCUGGAGGUAUCAGAAGUGCGAAUGUUGACAUGAGUAGCGAUAAAGCGGGUGAAAAGCCCGCUCGCCGAAAGCCCAAGGUUUCCUGCGCAACGUUCAUCGGCGUAGGGUGAGUCGGCCCCUAAGGCGAGGCAGAAAUGCGUAGUCGAUGGGAAACAGGUUAAUAUUCCUGUACUUGAUUCAAAUGCGAUGUGGGGACGGAGAAGGUUAGGUUGGCAAGCUGUUGGAAUAGCUUGUUUAAGCCGGUAGGUGGAAGACUUAGGCAAAUCCGGGUCUUCUUAACACCGAGAAGUGACGACGAGUGUCUACGGACACGAAGCAACCGAUACCACGCUUCCAGGAAAAGCCACUAAGCUUCAGUUUGAAUCGAACCGUACCGCAAACCGACACAGGUGGGCAGGAUGAGAAUUCUAAGGCGCUUGAGAGAACUCAGGAGAAGGAACUCGGCAAAUUGAUACCGUAACUUCGGGAGAAGGUAUGCCCUCUAAGGUUAAGGACUUGCUCCGUAAGCCCCGGAGGGUCGCAGAGAAUAGGUGGCUGCGACUGUUUAUUAAAAACACAGCACUCUGCUAACACGAAAGUGGACGUAUAGGGUGUGACGCCUGCCCGGUGCUGGAAGGUUAAUUGAAGAUGUGAGAGCAUCGGAUCGAAGCCCCAGUAAACGGCGGCCGUAACUAUAACGGUCCUAAGGUAGCGAAAUUCCUUGUCGGGUAAGUUCCGACCCGCACGAAUGGCGUAACGAUGGCCACACUGUCUCCUCCUGAGACUCAGCGAAGUUGAAGUGGUUGUGAAGAUGCAAUCUACCCGCUGCUAGACGGAAAGACCCCGUGAACCUUUACUGUAGCUUUGCAUUGGACUUUGAAGUCACUUGUGUAGGAUAGGUGGGAGGCUUAGAAGCAGAGACGCCAGUCUCUGCGGAGCCGUCCUUGAAAUACCACCCUGGUGUCUUUGAGGUUCUAACCCAGACCCGUCAUCCGGGUCGGGGACCGUGCAUGGUAGGCAGUUUGACUGGGGCGGUCUCCUCCCAAAGCGUAACGGAGGAGUUCGAAGGUUACCUAGGUCCGGUCGGAAAUCGGACUGAUAGUGCAAUGGCAAAAGGUAGCUUAACUGCGAGACCGACAAGUCGAGCAGGUGCGAAAGCAGGACAUAGUGAUCCGGUGGUUCUGUAUGGAAGGGCCAUCGCUCAACGGAUAAAAGGUACUCCGGGGAUAACAGGCUGAUUCCGCCCAAGAGUUCAUAUCGACGGCGGAGUUUGGCACCUCGAUGUCGGCUCAUCACAUCCUGGGGCUGUAGUCGGUCCCAAGGGUAUGGCUGUUCGCCAUUUAAAGUGGUACGUGAGCUGGGUUUAAAACGUCGUGAGACAGUUUGGUCCCUAUCUGCAGUGGGCGUUGGAAGUUUGACGGGGGCUGCUCCUAGUACGAGAGGACCGGAGUGGACGAACCUCUGGUGUACCGGUUGUAACGCCAGUUGCAUAGCCGGGUAGCUAAGUUCGGAAGAGAUAAGCGCUGAAAGCAUCUAAGCGCGAAACUCGCCUGAAGAUGAGACUUCCCUUGCGGUUUAACCGCACUAAAGAGUCGUUCGAGACCAGGACGUUGAUAGGUGGGGUGUGGAAGCGCGGUAACGCGUGAAGCUAACCCAUACUAAUUGCUCGUGAGGCUUGACUCUAU